GUUCUGGCAUUUCUCAUUCAAUGUUUCUCGAAAAAAGUAAUGGAAUGAUCGUUGGAGCAAUCAGUAACAUCUUUAUUCGAUUGUUGUUCUAGUGACACUACCAUCAUAUUGUGUAAGAUCUUGUUAAAAAAGAACAAGACAGAAUCAGUAGGUUUCUGGAUAACAUUUCCUGAAAAAUAUACACAUUUUUAUAAAAGAUAUCAUUC
rnacentral:lncRNA from 1 species